rnacentral:tRNA from 3 species
GGCCCGUUAGCUCAAUUGGUAGAGCAACAGACUCUUAAUCUGUGGGUUGUAGGUUCGAGUCCUACACGGGUCA